GGUAUAUAACCGGCCAUGUUGGAAAUUUCCGUUCAUUUCAAUUUCGUCGUGGUGAAGAACGUUCGUCUGUGAAGUGUAGUGAAGUGCUGGCAGUCUGCCGCCUGUUCGGAUUCAGUCCCAUUGCGUUUCGCGUGGGUCUGCAUUCGACGGCCGCCAUCUUGUUGCCGCAUGGGGCGUGGCCGCUGCUGGCUACAAAAUGGGUUUGUAACGUCAUCGCCAUCUCUUCGUGAAGACGUGAAGUUGCGAUGCAGACGAGUUACAAGCGUAUGAGAGCUGUCUGCAGACACAGCCGCUCCCGCUGCCAAUUACGAGGUCGCCGGAUGUGGCGACAUUCGGAUCUGCCACAUGCUAAAGGUCACGCGCGCUCAGUCCCGGUUAUCAGCCCAUAGGUAAAGCUAGGGAAUUGAGCAAUCAUUUUACCAUUUAACAAUAUGUAGGCCUGUAUGCAGGCCGUCGUGUGUGCUAUUUCUUAAAUCCCAGAUGUCACAACUGCCGCUGCUGCCAGAGCAGGCUGCAGUGGGAUUGGAUACGCGUAUGCCUGCGUCAUUGUCGACUUGCUCGAGCGAGGUGUGCUUACUUGCGUAUGACGGAUGUUUAGAAUUGAUAUCGGCAUAAGAAAAUAAACUCGAAGCGAUACUUACGGUGAGUCAUUGUUAUUCAUGCAAAUGCAAGCUGAGGCUAACAAUGAUUUUCUAUAUUGAUUGUGUCCUGUUGCAAAUGUGCAAUAAUAUUAAAUCCACACAGGUUUAUCUAUUGUCUGAAACUUUAACAUGGAUUCCAGAAAAUAGUUAAUAAAGAAAAUACGAAAAAGUUUGCAGGAAUAGAAAUGUGAUACUGUUACGUUAUUACCACAACCUUUACAGGUGAAGCUAUAAGUAUAUUGAUUUUUAUUAUUUGCAACUUGCAAUUAUGAAAUGAAAUUACAUAAAUAUUUUUAAAAACCAUAAUAAUAGGAAAUAUAUUUUUUAAUCGUGACUGGGCUGAUUUAUAUCCGGGACUAAAAUAUUUGGAAUAAAUAUUGUUGAUGUAAAAGCAUAGGUAAAAUGGCCGUGGUUUAGGAUUGGACACCGGCUUAUAGUGUAAAUGGUAAGUAUCGUUGGGAAUUUUCGUUCGCGAUUAACUCAACAGUUGUUGAAAUACAAUAAAAACUGAUUUGUAUAUGUAAAUUUCACAGCUGUUACGGUGGCGGUGACUCGUGACGAAUUAAUUUAUACAUGAAAGCAACUUGCAGCCUUCGUAAAGAAGGUCGUCUACUGCACACUGCAAAAGAAUGCACUAUCACCAUAAACAGAUAAGUUCUAAAAUUAUGGAAAAUCUAGGAGCUAAAUUUAAGCUGAGUUAAAAAUUUAUGGCACACGGUUUCCAUAGGUCUUAGUUGCAUAAUCCAAUGGUAAGUGCAACAAAUAAACCAGAUUUUAGAUUUUAAUACAUA